rnacentral:rRNA from 1 species
AUACGGAGGGUGCAAGCGUUGCUCGGAAUCACUGGGCGUAAAGCGAACGCAGGCGGCCCGGCAAGUCGGGUGUGAAAGCCCGGGGCUCAACCCCGGAAUUGCACUCGAAACUGCCGGCCUUGAGUACGGGAGAGGGAAGCGGAAUUCCUAGUGUAGAGGUGAAAUUCGUAGAUAUUAGGAGGAACACCCGUGGCGAAAGCGGCUUCCUGGCCCGAUACUGACGCUCAUGUUCGAAAGCGUGGGGAGCAAACAGGAUUAGAAACCCCAGUAGUCC